rnacentral:tRNA from 1 species
GCGAAGUUGGCGGAAUUGGUAGACGCGCUAGCUUCAGGUGUUAGUGUUCUUACGGACGUGGGGGUUCAAGUCCCCCCCCUCGCACCA